CUAAAAAUUAUCAAAGUUUAGCAUGAUCGGAACAGAAAUAGAACUAACCUUCCUCAAUGAAGACAGAGAGUCCGAAAUCCGUGGCCUUUAUGGGAGAAUUCUCAUCCUUGCUAACCAGCAAGAAAUUUUCAGGCUUCAAGUCCCUAUGCAUAACCCCC